UCUGGUGUCAGCCGCCGCGGUAAAACCAGCACCUCAAGUGGUCAGGAUGAUUAUUGGGCCUAAAGCAUCCGUAGCCUGCUUUGUUAGUUUUCGGUUAAAUCCAUACGCUCAACGUAUGGGCUGCCGGGAAUACUGCAAAGCUAGGGAGUGGGAGAGGUAGACGGUACUCGGUAGGAAGGGGUAAAAUCCUUUGAUCUAUUGAUGACCACCUGUGGCGAAGGCGGUCUACCAGAACACGUCCGACGGUGAGGGAUGAAAGCUGGGGGAGCAAACCGGAUUAGAUACCCGGGUAGUCCCAGCUGUAAACUAUGUAAACUCGGUGAUGCAUUGGCUUGAUGCCAAUGCAGUGCCGCAGGGAAGCCGUUAAGUUUGCCGCCUGGGAAGUACGUACGCAAGUAUGAAACUUAAAGGAAUUGGCGGGGGAGCACCACAAGGGGUGAAGCCUGCGGUUCAAUUGGAGUCAACGCCAGAAAUCUUACCCGGAGAGACAGCAGAAUGAAGGUCAAGCUGAAGACUUUACCAGACAAGCU
rnacentral:rRNA from 2 species